AGUAUGGAGCUGGAUGCAGGCCUUGAUCCCAGGACCCUGAGAUCAUGACCUGAGCUGAAAUCAAGAGUCAGAGGCUUAACUGACUGAGCCACCCAAGUGUCCCUCCAAAUGUUAUCCUAAGAGUUUUGAAAGCAGGUCAGAAGCAGCGCUCAAUUUUUGAACUCUCAGAUCAGAAUCUACUAUCUUUCUACAGUUCCCCAACCAGUUCUCCUACUUGGUCAGUGUUAUGGGUUGAAAUAUGUCCCCCCAAAAAGAUAUGGUGAAGCCCUAAUCCCCAGUACCUCAGAAUGUAACCCUUCUUGGAAAUACGGUGUUUAUAGAGGUAAUCAAUUUAGACAGAGAUCAUAACCCUAUGAUAAUGAUAUCUUUAUCUCCAAAAAAGAAGAGAGAUUUGGACACAGGGACAGACAUGCCAUAGGAAGAAUGCUAUAUGAACUUGAAAGCAGAGAUGGGCUGAGCAUCUGCAAGCCAAUGAACACCAAAGAUUCAGAGCAAACACCCAGAAGCUAAGAGAGAGGCAUGGAACAGAUUCUUCCGCCCAGGCUUCAGAAGGAACCAGUUUUGCUGACACCUUGAACUUGAACUUCUAGCCUCUGGAACCGUGAGACAAUAUGUUUCUGUCGUGGGUUGGGAGGAAGGAGACACAUUCAGCCUCAAGGGCCAGAGAGAGCAUGAUGGUUUCUGGUGAGGGCAAGUAGCUGGAGGUGUGGGCAGGAGCAAGGGCUUCCCAGCCCCAUCAUGUCCCACCGGAGAUCUUGCCCUGACGAGACUAAAACUGACAGAUGGCUCCCACUGGCCAUUUGAGAGCACGUCCCCCGCCGGCCAAGCCCAGGGAAGAUUUAAUGUCUCUUCCACGCGACUCAACCAGCCUCACGAGCCGCAAAAAUCAUCUGGUACUGGUACUGGCUGGCUGGCAGCUUCCUGGCCCGAUGACGCUAACUGUUGGCGAUGGGACUCGGCCACCAGGCCCUGCAGCGCCCUCCCCAUCCCUGACCACCCAGGAUGUCCCGACCGGCGGCCUGCAAGGAAAUGAAUUCCUGGCUGGAGGGAAACAGCAAGAAGUUUCUAGCCGUCUAGAAUUCACAUGAACAACUCAAGAACUCCAGACUGGACAUGAGACUGGGCGUGAAAGCCCCUCCUCGGGUGCCAGGGAUUUGAACUUGCCUGUGAUGGACGUGAUCACCUGGACGGCUUCGCACAGGUGCGCUCUCGCACUGCCAGUUACACCUUCCCACUUAGAGGACUGUAUUACUCAGCACACAGGCAGCUACCAGGGAAAGCGGUGGCAGGAAGGGAAGGCGACCCUUUCCUCACUAAGCAAAGGAAGAGGUGUGAAUCUGGGGACCACAGUCUGGCCCUGAUUGAAGCCCACAGGCCCUGGAGAUGCUCUCACAGGAAGGAACUACUGGGGGAAUGGGACCCGGUGACCACGCCAGUUACAGAAGGAACCAUUCCAGUGUGACACAGCAGAAGACACAAGAGGAUGGGUGGCCAAAGGAGAGCCCAAGGAUAAGGCAACAUGACCGAGUGCAGACACAGGUUGAAGCCAGGCGCCUGAGCAGCUGCCACUGUCAGUGGAGCCGGAGACCUUCCAGCCCUGCGUGUCCGUGAAAAGCGACUGUUGGAGACCCAAGCCCCGACGUUCCAGGGCCUCGCCGGACCGUCAGCGCCCCUGCGCCCCAGGCUGGCUCGGCCGAGGCGGGGAAGCCCUCUGGUGGCCGCUGCCGAUGUGACAACAGGCUCCCAGGCUCGGUGCUGCGGGGACGGCGCUCCCCGUGAAGACACAGUCUGCGAAGUCCCUGCGGCCUAAAUGCACCCUCCCCGUCGCCCCCAGGCCUCACCAGGUCCCCGCAGACAGCUGUCCCCAGGCCCGCCGAGCUCUGUCUUCGCGCCCAGGCGGGGUGGGCCGCCGGGGACCCUGGCCCGGACACUCAGGGGAGGUCCCCCGAGCUCUCUGCUGAAGGCUUCCAGGCUCCGGUGGCGGCUCUCUGGUGGAGAUGGGCCAAAGGGACCCUUCCUGGAGAGGCACACCCGUCUCAGGACAGGUCGGGCAGCACUGGCACACACAGGCUGGAGCUGUCCCCUUCCCGGACCGUGCUGGUGCUGAGCCACUUUCUGGAGGUGUCCUUCCUCCAGGUACCCUGUUCCUCAAAGGUACCGCGCUCAGGAAAAGAUAGAGAACCACAAGUCUUCUGGGCAAAAGUUCCAGCAUCCACAGUCUGGCCUCGAACGUCCUUUCUAGCCUUAGAGUUAAGUAUAGUGUCCGGGUCAGGGGCUAGAAUUAGACGGCCUGGGCUAGAACCCCAGGUCCCCAACUUAUUGGCUAUGUAACUGUGUGGAAGGUUCUAAAUCCUUCGUUUCUAUGCAAGGUGGUUGAUAUUUUAUUUUUUUACUCUUUAUUUUUUUUAUUUAUAUAUAUAUUUUUUGGUGGUUGAUAUUUUAAUGAGGUAGCCUGUGUAUCGGCCUUAGCCUGGUGCUUGCCACACAGUCGGUGCCCAAUUGACGACAGCUGUCACUAGUACUCCUCGGUCAACAGGCCGACUGAUCUGCUCACAGGUCAGGCACAUGCUUGCACUUUCCAUCUCUGCACUUUGGCUUGUGACACUUUAUUUGCCUGGAAUGUCCUCUCCCUGUUCUCUAAUGUCAAGACCUCACCUGUUCUGCUGAGCCCAGCUCAAAUUUCUUCACCUGCUUAGGGAACUGAGCUAAUCCUGGACUUAGGAACCUCACGCGUUAUUGUGAGGGGAAACAAAUACUUUGUGAUAGUGCAGCGUAUAAACGUAUACGUGUGUGUCAUAGAAAAAUGUGCAUGGUAUUUUAUUGCUUGUACAAUCAUUCUACAAAAUUAGAUAAAGCCUUAUAAUGUGUAUUCCUGCAUUACCGGAAUAGUUACUCAAAUUGUUUUGACAUUUUA